GACGAACGCUGGCGGCGUGCCUAAUACAUGCAAGUCGAACGCAGUGGGGACGGGUGAGUAACCCGUGGGUUACCUCGCAUCAGAGGGGAGAACACUUGGAAACAGGUGCUAAACCGAUACUGUUGGAUGAACACGCUGUGCAUUAGCUAGUUGGUGAGGUAACGGCUCACCAAGGCAACGAUGCAUAGCCGACCUGAGAGGGUGAGCGGCCACACUGGGACUGAGACACGGCCCAGACUCCUACGGGAGGCAGCAGUAGGGAAUAUGCGGCAAUGGACGAAAGUCUGACCGAGCAACGCCGCGUGAGUGAAGAAGGUUUUCGGAUCGUAAAACUCUGUUGUUAGAGAAGCGGUAUCUAACCAGAAAGCCACGGCUAACUACGUGCCAGCAGCCGCGGUAAUUC
rnacentral:rRNA from 1 species